UACAAAGGGUGCGAGCGUUGUUCGGAAUUAUUGGGCGUAAAGGGCGCGUAGGCGGUGCCACAAGUCACCUGUGAAAUCCCCGGGCUUAACUCGGGGCCUGCAGGCGAAACUGUGGUGCUGGAGUAUGGGAGAGGUGCGUGGAAUUCCCGGUGUAGCGGUGAAAUGCGUAGAUAUCGUAAGGAAGACCAGUGGCGAAGGCGGGUCUCUGGACAGUUCCUGACGCUGAGGCACGAAGGUCAGGGGAGCAAACGGG
rnacentral:rRNA from 1 species